rnacentral:misc_RNA from 1 species
UCAUGACAGNAAGCAUGGAGUAAGCAAUUCGGAUAAUUCAUUCAGAGACAGGGCCCCCUGGGAUCGGGGGAAGCCGGUAGAGGUCAAUUUCAACCUUCAGCCCCGGCUUGUGUGAUGGACGACCGUCCCCCCCCAAUAACCACCCACCGCUUAGGGGGGUGGGAGGGAGGGGGACGCGCCCGAAAAGCAGUGGUCAGGCCGCGAUUCCGGCUCCUGGGCGAAUGGGACAUACCACCGCCUCUAGGACCGGCCGGUAGGCUGGCCUAACGCACCAUGUAUUAUUCAGGUUGACCUCGGAUCAGGUAG